UUUCGUAAUUCGCCCUCAGUUUAAAUCUUCUAUCACUUACUGUUGAGCCUUGCUUACAGAUCAUUAUAAAUAUUCAAAUCAGAAAAAAAAUGUUUUCGACUCGUUUCACCAUUUUCUUCGUUCUUGUGGUGAUGAUGUUCAUUGCUGAAACAUUAGCCGGUUGCAGAAAUACGAAUAAUCCUGAAUGCGUUGAAUUUAUGUGCAAUUAUUGUUGCGGCAAUAACAAUUGGCUUCCUUGCUUGAACACUAUGAGAAGAGCGUGCUGCUGAUACUAGUAAAUUAAUCGUUUUGUUAAGUUUUAUUAGACAAAUAAAAAUAUAUUUCGAAUA